rnacentral:misc_RNA from 1 species
GCAUAUCAUGGAAUGCAAGAAGGCUCAUGGGCAGAAUGUUGUACCGGUGUUCUACCACGUAGAUCCUUCGGAUGUGGUGGACCAAACUGGGGAUUUUGGGAAAGGAUUUGAUAGAGCUAAAAAAGAAGCACAAGCUAGUGCAGAUAUGCGCAUUGUGGAGAAGUGGAUAGCUGCUUUGAAGGACGCAGCCAAUCUAUCAGGAUUUGAUUCAGCUGUUUCCAGGUAAAAUGCCUUUCUCUUGUCAUUUGGUUUGGGAAUUCUUAAAAUUGCAAAAAAAUGUAUAAAAAAAAUAAAAUUAUUUCCGUUUCUGCGUGGCUUGGGAAAUAUUUUCCAAGUGUUUUUGGCCACAGAGGCAAAAAUAUUAUUAAAAAUAUUUAUUUCAUAAGAA